rnacentral:rRNA from 1 species
GAUGAACGCUGACAGAAUGCUUAACACAUGCAAGUCAACUUGAAUUUGGGUUUUUAACUUAGGUUUGGGUGGCGGACAGGUGAGUAACGCGUAAAGAACUUGCCUCACAGCUAGGGACAACAUUUGGAAACGAAUGCUAAUACCUAAUAUUAUGAUAAUAGGGCAUCCUAUAAUUAUGAAAGCUAUAAGCGCUGUGAGAGAGCUUUGCGUCCCAUUAGCUAGUUGGAGAGGUAACGGCUCACCAAGGCGAUGAUGGGUAGCCGGUCUGAGAGGGUGAUCGGCCACAAGGGGACUGAGACACGGCCCUUACUCCUACGGGAGGCAGCAGUGGGGAAUAUUGGACAAUGGACCGAGAGUCUGAUCCAGCAAUUCUGUGUGCACGAUGAAGUUUUUCGGAAUGUAAAGUGCUUUCAGUUGGGAAGAAACAAAUGACGGUACCAACAGAAGAAGUGACGGCUAAAUACGUG